rnacentral:rRNA from 1 species
UACGGAGGGUGCAAGCGUUAUCCGGAUUCACUGGGUUUAAAGGGUGCGUAGGUGGGUCUGUAAGUCAGUGGUGAAAUCUCCAGGCUCAACCUGGAGACGCCACCUGAUACUGGUGUGACUAGAGUCCGGUAGGGGAGUGUGGAACUCCUGGUGUAGCGGUGAAAUGCGCAGAUAUCAGGAAGAACACCAGCGGCGAAGGCGGCACUCUGGGCCGGUACUGACGCUGAGGAGCGAAAGCGUGGGUAGCAAACAGG